rnacentral:rRNA from 1 species
UACAGGGGGGGGCAAGCGUUGUUCGGAAUUACUGGGCGUAAAGGGCUCGUAGGCGGCCAACUAAGUCACACGUGAAAUCCCCAGCUUAACCUGGGAACUGCGUGUGAUACUGGAUGGCUUGAAUUCGGGAGAGGGAUGCAGAAUUCCAGGUGUAGCGGUGAAAUGCGUAGAUAUCUGGAGGAAUACCGGUGGCGAAGGCGGCAUCCUGGACCGACAUUGACGCUGAGGAGCGAAAGCUAGGGGAGCAAAGCGGG